GAGUUUGAUCCUGGCUCAGGAUGAACGCUGGCGGCGUGCUUAACACAUGCAAGUCGAACGGGAAACCUUUUAUUGAAGCUUCGGCAGAUUUAGAUUGUUUCUAGUGGCGGACGGGUGAGUAACGCGUGGGUAACCUGCCUUAUACAGGGGGAUAACAGUCAGAAAUGACUGCUAAUACCGCAUAAGCGCACAGAGCUGCAUGGCUCGGUGUGAAAAACUCCGGUGGUAUAAGAUGGACCCGCGUUGGAUUAGCUAGUUGGUGAGGUAACGCCCACAAGGCAACGAUCCGAUAGCCGCCUGAGAGGUGAACGGCCACAUUGGGACUGAGACACGGCCCAGAC
rnacentral:rRNA from 1 species